rnacentral:tRNA from 1 species
GCCGAAGUGGUGGAAUAGGUAGACACGCACGCUUGAGGGGCGUGUGGGGUAACCCGUGGGAGUUCAAAUCUCCCCUUCGGCACCA